rnacentral:misc_RNA from 1 species
GUUGAUAACUACUGAUUUCCCCCAUUUUCUUUUGAAAAAAGCCUCGAAAAUUUGAGAGAGCAUUUAACUCCAUUUACUGCUCACAACUGCUCCCCAACGCCCCUUUCUUCUUUUAAGAAGGAGUCUUCUGCACACAUUGAGAUAGAUGCACCACAAGGAUUAACAAAGAGAGAUAGGCAAAGAGAGAUGGCGAGGUGGUGCCUUAGUGUUAUGCUUGUGCUCGCUUUAGUAGCAGUGCAAACCAAUGCUAGAGAUAUGCCUAGCGUAAAAACUACUCCUCCCAGUACCAAAAAUGCUCCCAGUGAUUCUGCUGUAAAUGACCAAAAGAACUUCCUCGGUUACGGUGGUCUUGGUGGCUUUGCUGGCCUUGGUGGUAAUGGGCUUCCAUUUGGUGGCGCUGGAGGACUCGGUGGAGCCAGUGGACUAGGUGGAGCUGGUGGUGGGCUAGGUGGUGGUGGUGGGCUAGAUGGCGGAAGUGGACUAGGUGGUCUUGGAGGCUUGGGUAGUGGAGUAGGUGGUCUGGGUGGCCUUGGUGGUGGUGUUGGCGGUGGUGCAGGAGGUGGAGCAGGUGGUGCUGUUGGUGGUGGAACUGGCGGUCUUCCUUACCCUUGAAAUAAUAAUGGUCCAUCUUUGAUUUCCAGUUUCUACUAUAUAUUGAUGAAAAGCUAAGUUUAUGGCGGUUAAGUUAGUUGUUGGAUUCUGUGAUAGUUUUAUUUAACUCAUGUUUGUCUUGUCAAGUUUUAUUAGAUGUGUUCCUUUGACGUUUUAUGUCUUUAGUUUUUAAAUGUUGGUGUUUUUAAUGUCCGUUUUACAAUUCAUAAAUAAUUAAUCCUUCAUAUUAGUGAUACCACAGCUAAUUUACUUUUAUAAGAAAGCUUGAAAAAUUUUAAGAUCCUCAACUAGAAUUGAUUCUACUAGUAGUAGCUAGUAUGUAAGUUUAGAGUAAACAAAAAUGGAAAAAUUACUACAAAGUUGAAAUUAAUUGGCUAAUAGUGAUCUUAUGCUUGACCCUAUAUGUUGGGGAUCAGUUCUUUAUUAACUUAGGGCACCCUCCAUGCUGCACUUCAUUUAAUAAAAUACAUGUCUAAUUUGCUUGGAAUUAUAUACCUUUAACCUGAAAAUAACAUGUCAUUCCAAGCAAUUUCAAGGUUGGAAAACAAAGAUUAGCAUAUGUAGCUAGAUUUUAAUCGUGCAAGUAUGCCGGAUUUGGUUUAAUAGUUAAAAAUAUAUUAUUUACGAGUUUUUGCUCUUUUAUUCUUCUACUAAAAAAAAAAUG